GCGACGCCUGGCGUCGCGACGCCCCACCCCCACCAUCGUCGAGUCGACGCACCGUCUUUUACCUCCUUCCCUCCCUUUAUCCGGCCAACACCAUCCGCGCCUUUCCCUUUUCACGCACGCGCCUGAUAAAGAACACAAAACAGGGUGGAGAAGGUAAAUGCCUCCUUUUUACCCGAUAUAUCCACCGCAACACGAACGGAGAUCCAGCCUGGAGAAAAUCGAUGAGGGAGGGCGGGGGCACGAGGGGUUGCUUGCUUGGUUGGAACAGAGGAUCCUUUACCGUCGACUGGGAGUUUCGACUAAUUUUAAAGCUAAAGAAAUAUCUCUGUCGCAUUAUUGCAAGCCCGCUCGUAGAACGAUCAUUAGCGCGCGUGCAAGGACAUUGUACCCUGGGGAAAUUAAAAUAACAUUCUAAUCUCCUGAACGAUGCAAAUAGAUACUGGAGAAAUUGGUGAAAAAAUUGAGCCGCUUGACUGAGUGAGCCGGGAGUAGAAUCAUGGAUCUUUUGGAAAUCCAUUGAGCUAUACAAGGCUCAUCGUCCAAUCUUCCUAGGAAUACCUAUUUAAGUAUUUGAACAUGGAGACUAUCAUGCGUGUUACGAAACAAAUCUAUAUCCUGGCUGAUUCCCUAAUCAGGAUUUGUGAAAAAACUGGACUGACUUUGCUGAACCAAUGUCUCGAACCACGAAUUGUUUUUCGUUCAAUAGUCCAAUUAUCUCACGAAUGCCUAUUUAAGUAAUUGGACAUGGAGACGGUUAUCCAACAAUAACUUUUGUUACAUCGAAGCUAUUCUAUGAACAAUGUCCAAAUUAAAUACUUAAAAGCCAUUUUCUUAUGGAAAUUGGAAUAAGAAGCAUGAAAUUAGAAGAGUUUAUUUGAAAAUAUGAAGAAACCAUGAACAUUCAGUGAAGCCAGAUCGUGAAAUCAUAAAAAAUAUACACGUACACAGAUUAAAUGUGUAUGUAUUUCUCCGCGGCGCGUGGUGUGGAUACAGCGACCCCAGAGACUUUAGUUCGUCUGAUCGACACAGGGGCGCAAAAUUAUCGUACGCGGC